GCGGGAUUAGCAUAGUGGUAAUGCUCUUGCUUCCCAAGCAAGUUACACGAGUUCGAUCCUCGUAUCCCGCU
rnacentral:tRNA from 1 species